rnacentral:lncRNA from 1 species
UGGAUCUCCUCUACUCUUCUUACUCUCUGUUCAAAGAAACACAUUUUUAUGGACUACAGUAAUGGGUUUUGAAUAGACACUCUGGCUUCCAGCUGAGUUUUCUUUAGUUGGGAAAAGCUGGAGAGAUCAGAGACAGCAAGUGAUAACAGACAGUGAGAAGAGAUUAUUUGUCCCCCUGGUCCCCUCCUUGACCAUCCACUCUACAGACUGUCCUCAACUGGAGGUCACUGCCGCUCUCAGAGAGGACUACCCUGCUUGGUUCUGAUUUUAGAAUGUAGUCCCCAUGUAUUCCACUUAGCCUUUUGGGACUAGAGUUGACAACAAUGCAAUUGCUACUAAGCCCUGGGUUAUUGCAUUCUCUCUCGUUCCCUCCACCAACCCUCACAACUUAGUAAAUAAACCUUCCUUGAAUUAUCUCAUUUAGAAUGUAUGAAUUGUUGUGACCCUGACUAGUAUGCUUAGUAUGCAAGAUAAAGAUUUAGCUUUCUUACUUCCAACUCUCUUGCCCUACGAUGCUAUAACCGCCCCCCUCCCCCACACCCCACCACACACAGACACUCUUCCUGUUAGGGACUGAAUGUUUGUGUCUCCCUCACUGCCCUUCAUAGCUGAAGCUUUAACUCCCAAUGUGUUGGUAUUUGUGGAAGGGGUCCAGGGAAGGGAUUAGGGUUAAAAGAAGUCACAAGGAUAGUGCCCUUGUGAUUGUAUUAGAACCCUGUAAUAAGAGACACUAGACUUUGCUUCCCUUCUCUCUCCACACUUGCAUAAAGAAGACAUAUGAGCACACAGUGAGAUGGCAGCUGCCUACAGGCCAAGACAAGAGGCUGCAGACUGAAAAUUAUCUGCUAAUAUUUUCGUUUUAGACUUCUAGCUUCCAGAACUGUGAGAAAUACUCUCCUGUUGAUUAAGCCAUGCAUUCCAUGGCCUUUUGUUAUGGCACUCUGAGCUAAAACAUUUCCCCUCUCCACAUCUGCCUUGCUUAGAUAUAUCAUAAUUUUUGGUUAAAUCAAUAUUCUGUAUUAUUAUAAUCUGUAAAUAUUUCUACCUGUGGUUUUAAAAUUUAUUUUAAUUUCUCCCUAAUCUAAUUUCUUUUUACUAGAUCAGCCACAAAAAAGAAUGAAAUCUUGCCAUUUGCAACAACAUGGAUAGAGCUAGAGAGUAUAAUGCUAAAUGAAGUAAGUCAGAGAAAAGGGAAUACCUCACCUGUAGAAUUUAAGAACAAGACAAAUGAGCAAAGUAAAAAAAAAAAAUGAGAGAGAGAGAUAAGAAAUAGAAUGUUACUAUAGAGAACAAAUUGAUGGUUACUAGACAGGAAGUGGAUGGAAGAAUAGAGAAAUAGGUGAUGGGCAUUAAGGAGUCCACUUGUCAAGAUGAGCACCAAGUAAUGUAAGGAAUUGUUGAAUCACUAUGUUGUACAUCUAAAACUAAUAUAACACUGUAUGUUAACUAUACUGGAAUAAAAUAAGAAAAAAAAUUACUAGUGUUAAUUCUGUCAAUUUUUGUUUGCUUAAUUUUCUACCUAUCACUAAUCAAUUCUCAAACUCUCCCCCAGAAGACUCCUUCCAAUAUUUCAAAAAUAUCGGAAAAAUCCAUAAAGUCCAUCUUUUUGUUAGAGGCACGCCUCCCAAAGCCUUCCAUUGCCUUGCUCCCAUGUGGACUGGUUGUUCUCUAGACCUACAGUCUUGCAAUUUUGCAUCUCCUGGAUCUCCUGCUUUAUUCCUUCCAUUUGAUGGAGCACAUCUUCCAGUUUCUUCCUGAUAUGAUGUAUGGGACAUACAUAUUUUAAGACCUGAAUGUUUAAAAGGUUAUAAUCUACCUUCUAAUCCAAUCUAAUUGGAUUGCUGGAUAUAGAAUUCUAGAUUGGAAAUAAUUUUCUUUACAAUUUUGAAGCAAUUGUUCCAUUUGUCUUCUGGUUUCUGACACUAGUGUUGAUGUUUGAAAUGGGAUCCUUUUUUAAAAAAUAUUUUUUUUAGUAGAUUUGUAUAUGCAAAUGAGUUACUCAUUGUGAGUAUAGGCACACAAUGUUCCAUUAGUUUCAGGUGUACAAAACAGUGAUGCUGUGUGUACCAAAAGUGUAACCAUCAUCUGUCACUGCACAAUGCUAUUAUAGUAUUAUUGACUAUAUUUGAAAUGAGAUCCUUUUUAUUGGAACUCCCUUGAAAUUCCUUCACUUUGCUGCUGGAAACGUUUAAGAUCUUUUUUGGUCCCUAGUGAUCUGAUAACAACAAUGUGUGAUGAAAUACUUUAAAGUGGGUCUUUUUUUCAUGUAGUGUUCUGAGCCCUAAGUGAACUCUCUCAAUCUGGGAACAAAUGACCUUCACUUUGGAGAGUUUUCCUUCAGACAUUUGACAAUUUUCUCUCUUACAUUUUCAAACUAUGUUAUCUUCCUUUCUUAUACCUCCUGAUCCGAUUCUUUAGUCAUUUAUCUUCUAUAUGUUAUAUUUUCUAUUGUCUGCUUUUA